GGGCCGCACGCGCGCUACACUGACGGAGCCAGCAAGUAUAGCCUUGGUCGAGAGGCCUGGGUAAUCUCGUGAAACUCCGUCGUGCUGGGGAUAGAGCAUUGUAAUUUUUGCUCUUCAACGAGGAAUUCCUAGUAAGCGCAAGUCAUCAGCUUGCGUUGAUUACGUCCC
rnacentral:rRNA from 3 species